CACAUGCUUAUUGUAUAGUCGGAAUCGUACGAUGUUUUUAGCAGAGUAUAAAAUAGUAAUAUUAUACAAAUAAGAUUAUUUGCAGAUCCGAGGCUGUUGCUGGGCUGUUCCUAAUGGCUAUCGUGUAUAGUAUUCGGUUUGUUGUGUUUUUGUGUAAAUGAUAUGUGUGCUAUAUCUGAAAUGCUUACAACAUACCACAUACUUCAUGUAUUCAUAUACCAUAUUUUAUGUACAUUAAGGUUAUGUAACAGAGCAGUUGUACUUAUCACGACAGGGAGAACACAAUACAGCAUUGGUAAUUUAUAAGUAUUCAAACAUUAACGCUUGCACACACGAAUAUACAGGUACGUUCACACAUGAACAAGGGCGCUGAGUAUAUAUAUCCAAUUAUUGCUAUGUAAAUUUCUUGUCAAGUAUUAUUGCAUUUACAUCCUGUAUCCGUGUCGGAUAUAAUACGGAAUGAUUCUACUACAGACAGUUUGCGACAGCAAAUGCCGGUCCUAAAAGCUAUUGUUUACAUCGGUUUGCCGUGAAUAUAUUUAACAAACGCAUCUUUAUAUGAAUCGUACCAGCAUCUAAAUCAGAUGAUCGUCAAUCUGAUUCUAAUCUCCCCUUCGUGACCAGAUACCAUGAAUUUUGUAGUCAUGUGUAAUUUAUAUAUUACUUCACAUAUACUUACACUCUUUCGUUUUCCAACAAUAGUCAAUGUGAAAACUAUGACAUUUACAUAUUUUUCAAAUAUUUUAUAUGCAAUGUUAUUAUUUAAAUAACUUCUUUUCCUUUAAAAUCCUUCCAAUCCUUACUUUUAGAGAUCUCUCGUGUGUGCCCCGCCUAUAUGAAUUUUAACAUUCAAUUUUGAGGACAACCUGACUGUCGGGUCCCGGAUUAUGACAGAAACCAAGCGGAUCAAACGUUGACGACCCUGCUUGAAUGAUGGGAAGUAAUAUAUGGAUUCCGGAUGACAUCGGCCCCGGAUGAAACGUAACAAAUACUACUGGUUCACUCAACGUUCUUUGUUCCUGAUCUGAAGUGGGCCGAGCACCGGGUACCCAACAUCUUCAACCUUACAACGGACUCGGACAAUUAGAUUGCUGACAUGAUUAAAAAGUACCAGGCUGCCAAGACACAAACGUGGAUCUGGGUGUGGUAAUUGUUCUUAUGGUGUGUCAAACCAGUAUCUCAGAUUCAUGGGUAUCAUUUUGACAGGUCUUCAAACCCACGAUCAACUGGAAAGGAGGGACGAAACAGCAAAGCAAAAUGUAGCGCUAUACAUUUUUUGACGACAAGUAUCCUCAAUGUUAUGGAAUAUGUUAAUAGAACCAGUGUGCUUCGCAUUUA